UACGUAGGUGGCAAGCGUUGUCCGGAAUUAUUGGGCGUUAAAGCGCGCGCAUGGACGGGUCCUUUAAGUCUGAUGUGAAAGCCCACGGCUCAACCGAUGGAGGGUCAUUGGAAACUGGGGGACUUGAGUGCAGAAGAAGGAAAGCGGAAUUCCAUCGUGGUAGCGGUGAAAUGCGUAGAGAUGUGGAGGAACACCAGUGGCGAAAGGCGGCUUUCUGGUCUGUAACUGACGCUGAGGAGCGAAAGCAUGGGGAGCGAACAGG
rnacentral:rRNA from 1 species